UACGUAGGUGGCAAGCGUUGUCCGGAUUUAUUGGGCGUAAAGCGAGCGCAGGCGGUUCCUUAAGUCUGAUGUGAAAGCCCCCGGCUCAACCGGGGAGGGUCAUUGGAAACUGGGGAACUUGAGUGCAGAAGAGGAGAGUGGAAUUCCAUGUGUGGCGGUGAAAGGCGUAGAUAUAUGGAGGAACACCAGUGGCGAAGGCGAAUCUCAGGUCUGUAACUGACGCUGAGGCUCGAAAGUGUGGGUAGCAAACAGG
rnacentral:rRNA from 1 species